rnacentral:rRNA from 1 species
UACAGAGGUGCCGAGCGUUAGGCGGAAUCACUGGGCUUAAAGCGUGUGUAGGCGGAUUUUUAAGUACCUUGUGAAAUCCCAUGGCUUAACCAUGGAACUGCUGGGUAUACUGGAUAUCUUGAGCCAGCUAGGGGCUACCGGAACAAAUGGUGGAGCGGUGAAAUGCGUAGAUAUCAUUUGGAACGCCAAUGGUGAAAACAGGUAGCUGGGGCUGUGCUGACGCUGAGACACGAAAGCCAGGGGAGCGAACGGG